CACUCCUACGGGAGGCAGCAGUGGGGAAUUUUGGACAAUGGGCGUAAGCCUGAUCCAGCAAUGCCGCGUGAGUGAAGAAGGCCUUCGGGUUGUAAAGCUCUUUUGUCAGGGAAGAAACGGUGAGAGCUAAUAUCUUUUGCUAAUGACGGUACCUGAAGAAUAAGCACCGGCUAACUACGUGCCAGCAGCCGCGGUAAUACGUAGGGUGCAAGCGUUAAUCGGAAUUACUGGGCGUAAAGCGUGCGCAGGCGGUUUUGUAAGUCUGAUGUGAAAUCCCCGGGCUCAACCUGGGAAUUGCAUUGGAGACUGCAAGGCUAGAAUCUGGCAGAGGGGGGUAGAAUUCCACGUGUAGCAGUGAAAUGCGUAGAUAUGUGGAGGAACACCGAUGGCGAAGGCAGCCCCCUGGGUCAAGAUUGACGCUCAUGCACGAAAGCGUGGGGAGCAAACAGGAUUAGAUACCCCAGUAGUCCC
rnacentral:rRNA from 1 species